rnacentral:rRNA from 1 species
AACUGGAGAGUUUGRUCCUGGCUCNGAACGAACGCUGGCGGCAGGCCUAACRCAUGCRAGUCGCACGAGAACGAUYCUUCGGGGAGACUAGUAAAGUGGCGCNCGGGUGAGUAACGCGUGGGNAAUCURCCUGAUGGUACGGNAUAACGUCUCGAAAGGGGCGCUAAUACCGUAUAAGACCACGACAACUGCGGUUGUUGCGGNNAAAGGGGGCCNCUCUAUAGAAGCUCCUGCNNUUGGACGAGCCNGCGUCCCAUUAGCUUGUUGGUGAGGUNACGGCUCACYAAGGCCGCGAUGGGUAGCUGGUCUGAGAGGAUGAUCAGCCACACUGGGACUGGAACACGGCCNAGACUCCUACGGGAGGCAGCAGUGAGGAAUCUUGCGCAAUGGGGGAAACCCUGACGCAGCCAUGCCGCGUGAGUGAAGAAGGCCUUCGGGUCGUAAAGCUCUGUCAGGUGGGAAGAACCCUCAAGGGACGAAUANUCCUUUGAGCUGACGGUACCGCCAAAGGAAGCACCGGCUAACUCCGUGCCAGCAGCCGCGGUAAUACGGAGGGUGCRAGCGUUGUUCGGAAUUACUGGGCGUAAAGCGUGUGCAGGCGGCCRAAURAGUCGGAUGUGAAAGCCCUCGGCUCAACCGAGGAACUGCAUUCGAUACUGCUUGGCUUGAGUCCUGUAGAGGAGAGUGGAAUUCCCGGUGUAGAGGUGAAAUUCGUAGAUAUCGGGAGGAACAUCGGUGGCGAAGGCGACUCUCUGGACAGUGACUGACGCUGAUACRCGAAAGCGUGGGGAGCRAACAGGAUUAGAUACCCUGGUAGUCCACGCUGURAACGGUGUCCACUAGGUGUAGCGGGUAUUGAGCCCCCGCUNUGCCGUAGCUAACGCGUUAAGCGGACCGCCUGGGGAGUACGGCCGCAAGGUYAAAACUCAAAGGAAUUGACGGGGGCCCGCACAAGCGGUGGAGCAUGUGGUUUAAUUCGAANNAACGCGAAGAACCUUACCUGGGUUUGACAUCCCCGGACAGCCURUGAAAGUAGGNNUUUCUUCGGAACCGGGNGACAGGUGCUGCAUGGCUGUCGUCAGCUCGUGUCGUGAGAUGUUGGGUUAAGUCCCGCAACGAGCGCAACCCYYAUCGUUAGUUGCCAGUAUUUAGUUAGGCACUCUAGUGAUACUGCCCCGGUUNACGGGGAGGAAGGUGGGGAUGACGUCAAGUCAUNAUGGCCCUUAUGCCCAGGGCUACACACGUGCUACNAUGGUCGGUACAAAGGGCUGCUAAAUCGCGAGGUUAUGCCAAUCCCAAAAAGCCGGCCUCNGUUCGGAUUGGAGUCUGCAACUCGACUCCAUGAAGUUGGAAUCGCUAGUAAUCCCGGAUCAGCAUGCCGGGGUNAAUACGUUC